UACGUGAGGGGCUAGCGUUGUCCGGAAUCAUUGGGCGUAAAGCGCGCGUAGGCGGCCCUGUUAGUCCGCUGUAAAAGUCAAAGGCUCAACCUUUGAAUGCCGGUGGAUACUGCAGGGCUAGAGUCCGGAAGAGGCGAGUGGAACUCCUGGUGUAGCGGUGGAAUGCGCAGAUAUCAGGAAGAACACCAACGGCGAAGGCAGCUCGCUGGGACGGAACUGACGCUAAGGCGCGAAAAGCGUGGGGAGCGAACGAGGA
rnacentral:rRNA from 1 species